rnacentral:rRNA from 1 species
CCCUUAGAGUUUGAUCCUGGCUCAGAUUGAACGCUGGUGGCAUGCUUAACACAUGCAAGUCGGACGGUAACAGGUGUAGCUUGCUACAUGCUGACGAGUGGCGGACGGGUGAGUAAAGCAUAGGAACUUACCUUAUGGAGGGGGAUAGCUCAGGGAAACUUGAGGUAAUACCGCGUAAGACCGAGAGGUGAAAGGGGGCUGUUAAAGGCUUUCGCCAUAAGAUGGGCCUAUGUUGGAUUAGCUAGUUGGUAGGGUAAAGGCCUACCAAGGCGACGAUCCAUAGCUGUUCUGAGAGGAAGGACAGCCACACUGGGACUGAGACACGGCCCAGACUCCUACGGGAGGCAGCAGUGGGGAAUAUUGGACAAUGGGGGCAACCCUGAUCCAGCAAUGCCAUGUGUGCGAUGAAGGCCUUCGGGUUGUAAAGCACUUUAGUGAGGGAGCAAGGAUGACCGGUUAAUACCCGGUUAUUUUGAGAGUACCUCAAGAAUAAGCACCGGCAAACUCUGUGCCAGCAGCCGCGGUAAUACAGAGGGUGCAAGCGUUAAUCGGAAUUAUUGGGCGUAAAGGGCUUGUAGGUGGUUCUAUAAGUUAGAUGUGAAAACCCUGGGCUUAACCCGGGACGUGCAUUUAAUACUGUAGAGCUAGAGUAGAGCAGAGGAGUGGGGAAUUCCUGGUGUAGCAGUGAAAUGCGUAGAGA